AAGAAGGAGAAGGAGAUGGAGAAGGAGGAGGAGGAAGAAGAAGGGGAGGAAGAGAAGGGGGAGGGGGAGAAAAUGCGAAGACGCGUGGGCGGCUGUCAGUGAGCGCGAGAACUGCGUGAGCCACGCGUCGUUUCAUCGUAUCGUGUCACAUUGGCUCCUAGGUAUCUCUUUUGCCGAAUUUAACAAAACAUAUAUCUAUAAUUCGAGCAAGGAGGUACACGCGCGAUACACUCCAAUUUCUUUUACACCAAAAACUUAGUCCUUAUCGUCGUUUAUAUCGGAUAAACAAAGCAAAGAAAAUUACGAGUGCAACGUAGAGAUUUCUCACAAAACAUUUGUAGGUAGGUAAGACGAAACAAUGCUGUAACGUAAUCAAAUCUUAUCAGAACAAUUCGAUCGAAAAAAAAAAGAUAACAAAGAGUCCGUUUGUUCUUUCUUAUUCGAAAGAAUGAAACUGCUUAGCUGAAUCAAUAUACGAAAAAGCUCAUGCAACUUUCGAGAAAAAAAGUCAAUGUCAUUCGUUUAUUAUUACAACGAUUUUACACAUAGAAACGAACCUGAAUUUCUUCGAAGGUUGAAACAUGCUUGCUUGUAGCCCGCCUACGUCUAGUUACGAAGAGCCAAGGCACAUUUUUUACGGCUCUAAUCAGACACGCGAAGAAUGGUUAUUUUUAUUCCUCGAUGUUCUUGAUUUAAAAUCAUCCAUUAGUUAUCUGGUACUUUGCUCAGGAGUUAGCUCUCGAUCGAUUAAUUCCUUAAUUUAUAAUUAUUGAAUAAGAGUUACAUGAAUUAAUAACGUAGGAUUAAAAAUGAUUUCUAUAUGUCAGUGAGUGACUUUAACAAGCUACGGUGCCAAACUUGGUACUGUCUAUGUCAAUUUGUACGUCUUCUUUCAAUGAUUCUUUCGAAAAUGAUUAAUGCGUAUAAUUCGAAUUCGAUUUACAAUCUUGAUUGAUCUCACGUCAAAAUAAAGAUAUAGAAAAUAUUUGAAUAUGUUAAGUUUGAAGCUCCCCUUUAUUCAUAUAAUGUAUAAUAAUUCAAUGAUUGAUCACUGUUGAAUAUUACAUUCCUCUACAGAGGGUUUUACAUUACAAAACAAAGUAAUUCCAAAUG